AUCGAAGGCACCACUCGGAAAAACUGAGUUUAUUUGAGUACUUAGACGGCCAUUAGAGCAACGAUCUAGCACCAUAUAAAUUCAGUAUUUUCGUGGAUGAGAGCCUAUUUU
rnacentral:pre_miRNA from 13 species